rnacentral:misc_RNA from 1 species
GAUGAAGAACGUAGCGAAAUGCGAUAAGUAAUGUGAAUUGCAGAAUUCAGUGAAUCAUCGAAUCUUUGAACGCUCAUUGCGCCCGCCAGUAUUCUGGCGGGCAUGCCUGUUCGAGCGUCAUUACAACCCUCAGGCCCCCGGGCCUGGCGUUGGGGAUCGGCGGAAGCCCCCUGCGGGCACAACGCCGUCCCCCAAAUACAGUGGCGGUCCCGCCGCAGCUUCCAUUGCGUAGUAGCUAACACCUCGCAACUGGAGAGCGGCGCGGCCACGCCGUAAAACACCCAACUUCUGAAUGUUGACCUCGAAUCAGGUAGGAAUACCCGCUGAACUUAAGCAUAUCAAUAAGCGGAGGA